GCGGGUAUGGACUAAUGGUAAAUCAUCUGCCUUCCAAGCAGAAGCUAUGGGUUCGAUUCCCAUUACCCGCU
rnacentral:tRNA from 1 species